AUAUAUACAAGGGGAUCUCAAUUCAGUAUACUACGCACCCGGCGAUUUGGUAAGUUUGUCCAGCCAAAUCAGUAACUUUAGCCAAAGCGGACCUCCAUUUUUGUAAUCUUUCUGAGUGACUUCCUAAUUGCUGUUCAUGUUUGGUCAUAGACUCGCCAUAAUUAUUUUCUAGUUUCCUGAUGUUUGUCGGUUCCACUUUGUAAAAGAUAGGCCAAACAAACCAAUUGAUUCCUUAAUUGCAUACACUCAAUGAUCUUAGCAAGCUCAUCAAGACACCAAGAGGAACUUGCAUAGUUUUCAGAUAACACAACAAUCGGAAAGUCUUGAUGAUUCGAUUGCAUUAAUGGCAGGAGGCAAGGAGGCCAUUUAUCUUCUUACCUCUUCUUCAUUUUAGUGGCAGGAGGUCUUACUACUCUUAUCAAAAAGGCGGCGGUGGCUAGCGGAGAAAUUCACGAUGUUAAAAUAUGUAGCUGGGCGCCGAUGGUGCCUCAUUUAUUUUUUGCUGAUAAUUACUUUCUUUUUUGCAGAUCUAACCUAUUUGUUUGAAACUAGAAAAAUGAUGGAGAUCCUUAAAACUUAUGAGGAAACAUUCGGUCAAGAAAUAUAUUUGGCUAAAUCAGAAGUUUUCUUUGGUCGCAAUAUUAGUCGAGCAACUCAAAAAGAACUAAUUAAUAUAAUGGAAGUUAGACACAUGUUGGAUAGUGUCAUCUAUCUUGGAUUACCAUCGAUGGUGGGAAGGAGUAAGAAAAGAGACGUUUGCAUAUGUCAAGGAUCAGAUAUGGAAGAGAAUUAAUUCGUGGAGAAAUCGACCUCUCUCCAAAGCCGGAUAAAAUGGCGUGUUCUAAGGAGGAUGGAGGCCUAGGAUUUCGUGAUUUUAAAAUUCUCAACAUGGCAAUGGUUGUAAAACAAAGUUGGAACAUAAUAUAUAAACCAAACUCCUUGGUGGCUUCGAAUCCUCAAAGUUAGGUAUUUUCCUUGGUCCUCUCUAUUUCAUGGUUGUAGGUAGAGAAUAGGCAAUGGAAGUAGCAGAAGAGUGAUGAAUGAACCAUGGUUGAGAGUAAAAGAUGGUAGAUGUAUAUAAGCUCCUCAAAAUCAAGAGGAGGUGGUAAAAAAACAUCCUUGUUGUUCCACUAUUGGAUUUAAUUCAAGAGGAUAAAUUAAUUUGGAGUGAGGAAAGCAAUGGAGAGUACUCGGUAAGAUCCGGAUUUAGGACAAUAAUGAAAGAAAUAACUCUAUGGCACCAACCGAGAGGUAGAGAAGCGCGGGGAACUUUAUGGAAGAUUCAAGCACCACCUAACUAAGGUCAAACAUAUGUUAUGGCGGAUUUGUAAGGGAUGCUUACCUUCCUGGGCACCGUUAAGAAAUCUCUUUGUACAAUGUCCAAUUGAAUGUCCUUAUGCACAUUGGAACCGAAAGAGGAUUUACAUAUUUUCUGUGAUUGUGAAAGAAGUAAGGAAGGAUGGAAUGUCGCGGGGCUAGGAAAUGUUUUACAAUAGCGUUUGAAUGAGAACCAAAGCAUACACGAGUUAAUCUUCAGCAUAUGCAGUACCUAGACUGCACAGAUUGCAGGUAAGGUUGCUGUCCUCAUAUGGAAUAUUUGGCAAAACUGGAACAGCCUUGUGUGGAACGACAGCAAGUUGAGCGCACGGCAAAUUGGUAUGAAGGUGAUUCAGAUGUGGGAAGAAUGGGCUACAGUACAAGGUUUAAUUGAGGAGCAAAACCGCAUGAAUAUGCAGCAGCAAACAGCACUGCUACCAACACUACAGUAGCUACCACUGAGGCAAGGAUACUUGAAGUGUAACGUAGAUGUGAGCUUUUACGACGCAGUUGGAACAACGGGAGUGGGAUGGUGUUUAUGUGAUCACUAUGGACAUUUUGUACUUGCAGGAACUAAUCUCAUUCAACGAAGAUUAAGCACAGUGGAGGGAGAAGCCAUAACACUCAAGGAAGCAAUUGAACAAGGAUUGAAUAGAGGGCUCUCUCAUGUCAUAUUUGAGAGUAAUUCAAAACUUGUAGUUGAUGCAAUCUCAUCUAGGCAAGUCGGUUCAUUGUAGUUGAUUGUUUUCACCAAUGUUGUUUUAACAGA